rnacentral:misc_RNA from 1 species
UACGUAUGGUGCGAACGUUGUUCGGAUUUACUGGGCAUAAAGCGCGCGUAGGCGGUUUGGUAAGUCUGAUGUGAAAUCCCUCGGCUCAACCGAGGAACUGCAUCGGAUACUGCUGGACUAGAGUGCAGGAGGGGAGAGCGGAAUUCCUGGUGGAGCGGUGAAAUGCGUAGAUAUCAGGAGGAACGCCGGUGGCGAAAGCGGCUCUCUGGCCUGCAACUGACGCUGAGGCGCGAAAGCUAGGGGAGCGAACGGG